CAUCAAUCCGUCACUACUCCGACGGCGGACUGGGGUACUGUUGGUAGUGGCCAUUGUCUUAUGUUGUGAUAUCUGAAAACAGUGGAAUAUAAACUGUAACAGAUGUUUGGUAAAGGUGUACCUGCUGUUGUCUGUUUCCUCUGUGGAGGAGGAUGACACCGGUAUCAUUGACCGUGUUCCACGAAACUUACAGUGAUGUUGUUCUCGACCUGUUAGAGCGUCCGUCGUGUGGAAGGCCCGGGGCCGUAAUGCCAGCUCUUGCAACGGAGGUCGCGGUGAUUGACGUCAUCGCUGUGUUCAGUCAGCCGUGACGACGUAAGACCAAGGCGACACAUCAGACCUACUCAUGAUCAGUAUACGUGACCCACUUGAUUAAGACAAUGUCUGUCUGGGAAUAGAUUCCUGAGAACUUACCAACUGUCCGACUACAACAAUGGGAAAUGUGUUAUGUCGUAAUGGCUACUCAAGUGGCCACUGUUUACAGUCACAAAUACAAGUGAUUUAUUGCAUAUUAUAGCAUGUCACCUUCAGAAUUACAUUACAGCUGUGUUAGGUAAUAAAAUGAUUCCAUGUGUCUCCAU